GGGGUUGUGGCUCAGCGGUGGAGCACUUGCCUAGCACAUGUGAGGCAUGAGGCACUGGGUUCGAUCCUCAGCACCACA
rnacentral:tRNA from 1 species